AUUGAACGCUGGCGGCAUGCCUACACAUGCAAGUCGAACGGUAACAGGUUAAGCUGACGAGUGGCGAACGGGUGAGUAAUGUAUCGGAACGUGCCCAGUCGUGGGGGAUAACUGCUCGAAAGAGCAGCUAAUACCGCAUACGACCUGAGGGUGAAAGCGGGGGAUCGCAAGACCUCGCGCGAUUGGAGCGGCCGAUAUCAGAUUAGGUAGUUGGUGAGGUAAAGGCUCACCAAGCCGACGAUCUGUAGCUGGUCUGAGAGGACGACCAGCCACACUGGGACUGAGACACGGCCCAGACUCCUACGGGAGGCAGCAGUGGGGAAUUUUGGACAAUGGGCGCAAGCCUGAUCCAGCCAUGCCGCGUGCGGGAAGAAGGCCUUCGGGUUGUAAACCGCUUUUGUCAGGGAAGAAAAGGUUCUGGCUAAUACCUGGGACUCAUGACGGUACCUGAAGAAUAAGCACCGGCUAACUACGUG
rnacentral:rRNA from 1 species